rnacentral:tRNA from 1 species
UAGGACAUGGUGUAUCAGGUAGCACAAAGAAUUUUGGAUUCUUAGGGUUAGGUGCAAAUCCUAUGAUUCUAG